UGUUUUAGCAACAAAUCCAAAAGCUCAAGAAGCUUAUAUGAGUGGUAACAAUGUUUAUGUUCCAAAUGAAGCUCCCCCUCCAUACAAUCCAAAUUAUGAUGUAAAAAAAGAUCAAUAAGCGAAAACAGUCGUAAAAUGUACAACUAAAUCUUAAUAAAAUUCUGCAAUUUCAAAAUCAAUUUUAAUCUGAAAUUUGAACGAAGUAGUGGAAGGCGAAGAUUUUCAAAGCAACCGUUCACUUUUGUGUACCUGUUUCAAAUGUGUUUAUAUUAUUUUCUUUAUCUUCAAUUUUUUUAAACCGUAAAACCCUUGACUUCAAAAAAUAUAACAAUAUUGUAAACAAUACUGUUUUUGAAAUUAAUUUAUUGUUAUUGUUUAUUGUUAUUCCAUACAAAUAAUAAAAAGUUAUUUCU
rnacentral:lncRNA from 1 species